UAAAACAUCAGACCCACGUACACGAUGGUCUCGGGGCAGGAACGGGGCUCCAGCGCAAGGGAAAGGCUUCGCCAUGGCUAGCUACUUUCCUCACAUCUGGCUCCCACGACGUCCGUGGAGCAGCACCGCACCAGUUCAUAUCUCGGGCUUGGAAUUUCUACACGAGAAUCACAGGGUACACAUACAUACUGGACUAUAUUCUUUUACCGAAUGCUCUUUUCUGUUCCGUACAUGUGUUAAUUUUGUAGAGAACUAGUAGUGGUAUGGUAUCGGUAUGGCAGUCCGGCUGCAUGGAGUAGUCUCGGAGAUCCUCCUUCCCAUUCCUCCGCCCAGCUAGCCGUCCCAUGAUUGACCCCUUCCCCCACAGUGCCUGAAAUUCUGACUUUGGAGCUGAGAGCAGAUGCUUACGGGGUUAAUUUGUCAGUCUUCUAUUUGAAUGUGCAUCUUGAUCUCAUGUAGUCCACCGCGAUACCAUACGGGUAUCUGCGCGAGAAACUGAAACCGGUACCAUUUCAAAAUUACCCCAUGAGAACCUGAAAACCAACUAGUAUGAUGCAAAUAGUGAUUAGAGAACUAACAAUUGCAAAAAAAAAAACCAGAAAAACUGGCGAUAGAAAAUAGGAGAGAAAACUUAGACAGGAAAAGGUGAAGAAAAAAAUAGAAAGGAUAAAUUGGCGUACUGCACUCGCUCGAGGGCAAGGGACGAUUACAAGUAAUUCAAAGUCUGAGGAACAGUUAUGGAGCCGACUUUGAAAGCUAAAUGUUGGGCCGAAAGUGUGGGUUUUCUGGUGUGGCUACACUGAAGCAUCGACCCAUGAAAGGGCUGAGCAGGUGUAAUAUUUGCCUCCCAAUGGAGAUUUUUUUUUUGAAACGGAGGCAAAAGCUUUGCCUCAUCUCAUGAAAAAGGAGGGGAGUAACAGAGGUCAUAUGAGGGUCAUUACUCCUCCACAAAUAAAAAGUUAAGCCUACUCUCGCGGCAUCAAAGAACCCAAGUGCCUAGCCCCAGCGAUGAUCCAGUUCUUCGCCUCUGCCUUAAUGCCUCCGACCACCACAGUUGGCAGCCUACAUGUUUGUUGAAAAACUCUUGAGUUUCUCUCUUUCCAGACCUCCCAAGAAACAAGCAUGAUAAGAGAAGACACCGCUUUCCGCCUAUGACCAUGAGUGAGAACCACCGAAGUCCACCACUCACUGACGGAGGGUAUUCCGGCCUAUGUCGCUACAUCCAACUCCGGCGCGUCCACCCAAGCUUUGACCGCAUUCCAAAUAAUGAGUGGAGAACCUACAUUUGAAGAGGAGAUGCAUAGCAGUCUCCAGCUCCCUCUUGCAAAGCUGGCAUAAGUUGCAGUUUGGCCAACCUCUCCGCUGUAGUCGAUCGGCGGUCCAGACCCUAUCCUUGAUGACAAGCCAGGCAAAGAAUUUGCACUUAGGCGGUGCCCAACUAUUCCACACCAUCUUGGGCAUGGGUGAGAUGAUAGAGCCCUCGAACUGGGCCUUGUAAGCCGAGGCCGCGGAGUAGAGCACGUUGGCGGCAAUGUUCCAUCUGAUGUCGUCAGCAACGUUGUCAUGUAAGUGCACCUCUUAAAUCUUCUCCCAGAGGCCACAAAAUUGCUCGAUGUGCUCCACCAAGAGGCCUCCCAAAAGGUUGAUCCACCGGAUCCAAUUGUUUUCAAGCAAGGCCUUCUUCACACAGAUUUGUUCUUGUUGGCAAAGAUCUCGAAGACCAGAGGUGCGAGAUCUUUGGGCUUCUUUCCAUCGAGCCAUGGAGAAUGCCAAAACCGGGCCUUCCGACCAUCCCCCACGGUGAUGGUCGUUACGGCAUAGAAGAGGGCUCUGUCAGUGGAGCCACAAGGGUUUCCUUAUCUUACCCACGCCCGUUGCGGCUCCUUCCACCCAUAGCAAAGCCAACGAAGUCGCAGGGCCCGAGCAUACAUGCGGAAGUCAAGGAUACCGAGUCCACCAAGACGUUCUGGCCUACAAACCAGCCGCCAGAUGACCUUGCACUGUCCUCUAGACACUUGAUACUUGCAAUAGUGUCAUGUGAACACGAUAGCGAUUCUGGACUGGAUCAAAACCGGACUUGAUCAAAACCUUCUUUGCCUGGCCUAUCCGGAGGUUUUCGCUCAAUCCAUUAGGAAGAACAGAUCGGUUCAGAAAGCGCUGCACGAAGACCGGCGGAUCCUCGAUCUUCGCCACACAACCACGACAACAUCAUGCAUCUUGUACUCCAAUUGGCAAGGGAGAUUCAAAGCGUUGGGAUCAUGAUGGAAGAUGGGAGGGAGGAUGUGAUCAGAUGGACUUUGAGCAGCUCUGGUCAGUACUCUGCGCAUUCUGCCUACAACGUGUAGUUCGACGACAUCUCAACGACAACAAUCAACUUCAGAGGAUCAAUCAAGAAGGUUGGGCACCCGACAAGACCAAAAUGUUCAUCUGGCUGCUGCGCCUGGAGAGGCUAUGGUGUAUUGACCGGCUGCAGCGCAGAGGUUGGGGCAACAACUACUUCUGUCAGUUGUGCAUGGGGAACCUCGGGACCUCUUCACACCUCUUCUGGGAGUGCCCUCUCGCCAUCUAAGUGUGGAACAAGGUGGCCACCAAGUGUGGAUGCAGCGCCCUGGCAAGCAGCAGCUGGAGCACAGGGAAGACAACGGGCGAGCGCGUCCAGAUGAUCAUCGACCACGCGACCACAGGCACCAAGAAAGGGACUAAAUUGAUGCUCGCUUUGCUCUCCAGGCAGAUAUGGCUUGAGCGCAAUGCAUGCACCUUCAGGGAAAAGAUUGCAAGCGAGUGAAGCAUCACUGAAGCCUACCGGCAGUACAUGGAGCAAUGGAGGAUCGCUGGAGCGAAAUGCAUGGAGCACCCGUUCGGGGACGUGUCGUGAGAAAUCACACAUAGGAGCGUUUUUGCCAGCAUAGGACCAACCUAGGCUGGCAUGUAACAUUUGUUUUUCUUCCAUCGAUCUCUUGAUCAACACCUGUUUCUCCCCCCCUCUCUCUCUCUGCUUAUGAAAUGAACACCGUCGUCAGCUGGAUCUUUCAAUAAAAAAACCUUCAUUACAAUUGAAGUUGCCAAGGCCACAUCUUGUUACUUGGGCCAAGGAUUCUUCUUGUGACUAAAUUUUUUCAAAGGAAGACAGAGGACAUUUUUUGGUAAACAUUUGGUCCUUCAAGGCUCAAAACCGGAUAAGUUUGGUCGAAAACUAGAUUUUGCCUAUGUUGACCAGAUUUGACCACCUUGACCGGGUUUGACUGAUGAACAAUAAUUCAAAAAAAAUUCAAGAAAAUAUGAAAUUUUGGGGUAACCAAGAUGCUUUGCUAGGUGCAUGAAAAUUCAUGUGGUGUUUCGACAUUCAAGGAGCUCGUGAAAAAAAUACAAAUUUUGGCUCACAAAAGAAACCGAUUUUUUGCGGGAGCUCCUCGGAUGUUAUUUGACCACAAAAAUUUACACGCACCUAGCGCACCCAAGCAUCUUGGUUGUCACAAAAUUUUGGGUUUUUAAAAUUUGUUUGCUAUUUUUUCAGAUUUACUGUUCAUUGGUCAAACUCGGUCAACGUGCUCAAAAUGGACCAAACCUAUCCGGUUUUGAGACUUGAAGGACCAAAUGUCUAAAAAAAUCUUGAGGGACCAAGUCUAUACUUUUGAGGAACUUGAGGGACCAAAAACAUACUUUUUCCUUAUUAUUAUGUGAGCUAUCUCAUCUUCUAGGAAUCGUUGGACUCAUAACCAGGAGGCCUUCGAUCCACGAGUGACGCUGAAGUGACAUUGCUCCGAAACAGUGUUGGCGGCCGCCCGAUUCUUGUUGGGUGAAGAUUAAUACUGAUGGAGUCAUAGUAGCUGAUGAGCGCAAGGAGAGGUGGAGGGGUUGCUUGUUCGCGAACUAUCUUUGUACUUGGUUUAACCCUAUAUAGGAUCCUCUCAUCGUAGAAGCAGUAGCUCUCCAGGACAGCGUUUAUGUUUGGCAAGUUUGUGGGACUUCACCAAGGUAGUAUAAAUACGAACUGUCUUGGGGUGGUCAGCCUCUGGAAUUCUCGCCACAGUUCUUGGUCAAUUGUGUCUCCUAUAUUCUUAAAAAUUGGGGAGUUUGCUUCUGAUUUUUCUUCAUUUGUUAUUCAAAAUGUUCAUAGGACUACAAAUAAGUCGGGUCAUCUUUUGUGUUAUGCAUGGAUGCUUGCACCAAACAAUAGGAUGUUUUAUGCAAUGACAGUCGUGAAAGUUGCUCAAGUUUGAUCCUUCCAUUUCAAUUGUGAAGGACUAACUUGUAGACUAUGUUCUUCAUGUCGUUAUUACGAGCUUUUUUUCAUUUCUUGGUCUAGUCCUUGCUCUUAUCCUUCUCCUUGAUGAUGAUAAUCAUUAUGUUUCUCUUCGUGGUGGCUCGAGACAAUGCAACAUAUAGCCGACCAUGAUAGAACACCGUGUCAAGUAGAUACUUGAGACAAUCAGAAGCUGCUUCAUCUUGAAUUUGAACAAGAACAUGUCAUCGUUGCAGGUCGGAGAAGUAUCCAAGGAAGGACACCCCCCUACCGAUGUGUUGUCCCAGCACAAUUUAUGUGUAGAUGUGUUCCUCUGAAAACCCAGACAAUAAAUCGUGUUUCAUCACACGGUCCAUCAACUUGAUCGCCCAAUGGUAUAACAUGGUAGAUUAUCUUCAAUCUAAGCACAUGUAAAGGUAGCCCAUUGAGAUUUAACAAGUUCAGGAACUCUUGAGCACAAUACUCAUCCUUCUUACUAACAAAGUUGUGGUAGAUUAACUCUUCACCUGAAAGCGCUUAAUCAUUCAUAUAUUUAUCUUUUCAAUUGUCAUGCUUCUCUAGCACAUGUAGAUGAUAUCAUUUCACAUGGUUUUUUUCAUAUUCAACACGCAAAAGUACACUAAAAUAACUUUGGCCAACCAAGAAAAAAGUUCACAUAUAUCUCUUAAAUGUGCAAUUUCCUCCUGAUAACAAUUCUAUAUACUUGAAAGAAAGUGAAGACACCCUAUAACAUGAGACAAUUCAGCAAUACAAAAUGAAAAUAUGUAUUUGUUAGAGUGUGUGUUAUGGGUACACAUAUGAAAUCUUGAUAUCCUCCUCCUGCUUCUGAGUAUGCUUGGUGCAUAAAUUUGACCCGUUGUUGAUUGAAGAUUUGUAUGAUUUCUUAAGUGUAAACCCAAUGUCAAGAGAAGAAUCUUGCAUAAUGUAUGUUUGAUUUGAUUUCUAUUCUUGCUCCAUACUUUUUGUUAAUAUGUUUGCAUGCUUUAUAUUAACCAAUUUGAGUUAAACGUCAUGUUCUAGAUGGUAGUAGUAUGUAUAAGAAACCCUUGAAACUUUGUUGAUUCUUACAAUUUUAGAUGCAACCUAAGUUGUACGUGAUGCAUAAUGAUUGGCAUGUAAACUUGGGCUGCUUUCUGAACUUGUAACUUCGAGUGGAACAUGAGUAGUAAUAUAAUUAUACUCAUCGGGGUUGCGUUAUUUAGACUUGUUUGUGCAACUUUGCAGGCAACGAGAUAAACCUGAACACCUUAGCUCUAGACGGUGUCAAAGUUAUGGAAGAACGCUUAGCGGAUGAGCCAAGUGCCAUAUGCAACUGGUGAUUUGAACUCGAAGGGCUUAGUUCUCAAGGAAACAAGUAAGUACAUUGUUGAUUGCUUUUCGCUCUACUUACCACUCUGAUUGUUAUCGUGCUCUUAGUUAUGUGAUGUAUAUCUCAUGUUUGCAUUGGGAUAAAUUGGAUCAUAGCUAAUGAAAUUCCAAAAAGAAGAACAACGAUAUAUUGGAAAAUUGGCUACCGAUUGGUUGGUUGUGAACUUCCUUUGCCGGCCUCACAAAACUUGUUGAUUUUCGUCAAUUUAGAACUUGCCAAAUGUUGGCAAGCCAAUUUUGUCUCCUAACCAAGUGUGCUUGAAACCCUGAUGCUGGUGAAGGUGGUGUUUAGCAGCAUGGACUAGGGUUAGGGAGACGUGAGCUGCUUUGGGUAGUGUCGGGUGAGAG
rnacentral:lncRNA from 1 species